rnacentral:lncRNA from 1 species
AGCAGAGACUGGUGUUUACAGUUAUUUAUGUCAACAGAACCUGAAUGUUCUCUCUUCUUUCUCUCUGUAGGGCACUGAGUUUCCUUGAAAGAAAGGAUGGUUGCUGUUUAGAAAAGCAAAGAGGCCUAGAUGCUUAGAAAAUGCCAAGCCUUUCAACUCCCAGGAUUUUUGGCAGAUCAGCAUUUGUGCCAAUUUUUAAAGAGGCUGAGAAAGCUUAUUGUGAAGAAUGAUUUUUAGUUCUAUUUUUUUCAUCUGCUAAUGUUGUGUGUUCAGCCAAAGCAUGAACAGCAUCCCACCAGCCAUAUUGUACUACAUUAUGAAAUUGAGAAUUGCAUUAACAGGAUAAUCUCAUAGAUAUUUCCGAGACAGGAGAAAUGUGCGCAAUCAUUUUCUAAAGGGCAAGGAGAAAAUGGCAUCCAAUUGGACAGCAGUUGAUACCGGAAAAGAAGAGUCCAGCCCAAGUGAGCGUCUGGGCUCCUUUCUGUGACAGACGUCACCCUCCCAGCCAGCCUGCCAGUGCCCCAGCAGCAUAUGCUGUAAUCUGGAAGAUGCGGUUUCUAGUUACCAACCUGAUAUCUCUCUGCAGCAUGAAAAUGAAGUGACUAAUGUCAGAAAAACGAACAAACAAGGUAAACAAACAGGCAAGCAAAUGAACAAACAAAACAAUUUUCUAUGGAUCAAUCUAAAACUCCUACCAAGUUCAGUAUCUUCUGUGUAAGCUUGGAGAGAUGCCUUAAGGACUCUGUAAAAGUCACCUCUCUCUGUGCUGAGUCUGGCUUCAGAUUUCUCUCUUGUAUCAUGAGAAAUUAGAACUGAAGAAAAAGAAAGAUUCAAGGUUUUCAAAUGCCAUAUUCAGCCAAGAAGUGAUACACUUGUGAAGACUGAAAGACUGCCUAACUUGAGAAGAAUCACACCCAUGAACACUGUCUGAAACAAACUUAAUAAAAAACAUAUAACUAUUCUAUGAAAUCAGUCUCUGAAUAUUAUAAUUUUUAGAAAAAGUGAUAUUUCACGUGAGAAUAAGUAAUUUACCUAAAACAGACUUCAAUCAAAACCCAGAAUUUGGACCUGGAAGUGAAAACUGGACAUUCAACAUAACUGGUAUAUUCACAAAAGCUAUUAAAGUGAUUAAAAGCCUAGUUUUAAUUCCAUUUUAGUACUGUUACAUCCUUGAUCUUGAGUGCAUUACUAAAAACUCUGUGGUAGUACUCCUUAUUUACAUUGAAUAAUACUGAAUCUGCCUCAUGUGAUUGCCAUGACAUGAGUAUAUUCCUUCAUGUGAAGUUCUGAGAACAGGGUCUGGUCACACCAACAUGGAAUUGCUAUAAUUAUUGUUCCCACUGCAAGUACUAGGAAAUCAACAGAGAAUAUUGCAUUUUCCAGGAUGAUUACUCAGGAAAUAAGAGCUUGGCAGUGGGAUUUGUUGUAAUUUUUAUUCCAAAUACUUUUCUUAUUUAUACUGUUUCAUUUCUUUCUGAAGUCAAUAUGUAUAUUUCUUAGUGAAUUUUAAUUAUAGAGAAAUUAAAACAAAUGCCAAUAACUAUGAAAUUAAUUUUUAAAAACAAACUUAAAUUUUUCAUAAAACAGUUUAUGUUCAAUCAUUUGUUCAAAAUCAAUAGUCCUCAUCCUGGGGAUUAUAUGUGGUAAAUUGUGUAAGUGUCUGAGUUCUGGAUUACUGCAUGCCAAAAACUUAGGGAAAUAAGAUAAG